rnacentral:rRNA from 1 species
UACGUAGGGGGCAAGCGUUGUCCGGAAUCAUUGGGCGUAAAGAGCGCGUAGGCGGCUCGAUAAGUCUGCUGUGAAAGUCCAGGGCUCAACCCUGGAAGGCCGGUGGAAACUGUCGGGCUAGAGUCCGGAAGAGGCGAGUGGAAUUCCCGGUGUAGCGGUGAAAUGCGCAGAUAUCGGGAGGAACACCAAUGGCGAAGGCAGCUCGCUGGGACGGUACUGACGCUGAGGCGCGAAAGCGUGGGGAGCAAACAGG